CAGAGACUGAGUAUACUUUCUUGGCGCCCAGUUGCAAACACUUUUCUUCCACCUUUCAAAUCAAAUGUUCAGAAUGGUUAAAAAUUUAGGCUGAUGGAGAAAUGAUGCUCCUGGGACUUCCUUCCUCAACAACAUUGUGGGAGCACUUUCACCAGAAUGACAGCAGCAAUUCAAGAAGGCAUCCACCACUUUCUCAAGAGUUUUAUUUCGUGCAGUUAUUACAAGUUCACCACCGAACCUGGCGUAGUGAUAUGCCAUCUGCUCACCAAUUCCUUUACUGGCUCCAGUCAACAGGAUACGGGCACCUGAGAGUAACUCUGUUCAAA